CUUCUUCCAGUUUUGGAUGAAGUUCUUGAUGUAUGCCUAGGUCUACCAAGUCAAGACGUGCUUCGAGAUUAUCCUUUAACUUGGCAUCAUUUAACAGAGUACAAACAAGGUUAUCACACACAUUUUUUUCUAUAUGCAUUACAUCAAGAUUAUGGCGCAAAGACAAGUGCUCCCAAUAUUGCAAUUUGAAGAAAAUGCUUUUCUUCUUCCACCAGUCCAUAGGAUCCUUGGGACUAUUUCCUCCAGAACUACUUGUUUGUGAACUCUCACCAUCAUUUCCCCUCUUUCUUUUAGUUUUCUUCUUUUUGUCAGUACCUUUGCUUGGCUGAUCAUUUGAUUUUUCUCAUUGUGAAAUUUCUGCCUUCCAACUUAGCAAGGUUUGAACUACUGCUGGGCGCUUGAGGGGCGGUCCUAUGUUCCACUUUACCAUCAAAUGGUUGCGUUUGAUUACGGAACUCAUACUUACCUAGUAGUCUCCGAUCAGGUGACGUAUCCGGUGUCUGCGCGAUGGUCGAUGCUCCCCGCGUAUACGUCUAACAGGCCAGGUUGUACUUGUGCACCUGAGGCGCUCGGCAUGCGUGCGAAGGUUGAUAGUCAAUCGAGGUGCCUCUGCUUGUGUGAGCGAAACAUGCUCAUGGUGGACUCCUGGUUGGAGAUCUUCAGCCAGACAUGUCGAUCGUCACUGUCCGCCGAAGCGUUGGCCUCCAUGAUGACAGACCGGCUAUGGCUGGUGGGUCCUGUUGUGGGUGAAACUGUGGCCCUAGCGCAUCGGCGUAGAACCCGAGCUUAAUAUGUGGUGGCGCGAGCGCGAAUGAAACUUUCUAUCUUUCUAUCUUUGUAGAGAUAACAACCAUAUUGGUUUAGCAUGCUAUGCAUUCUUGCUUUUAGGUGGUAAAAUCUUGGAUAACAUUUUUAAAGUAUCUUUGCCAAAUGCGGUUAUAUUGGUUUGAUUCGCUUUGAUUAAAUUUGAAAACACACCAGUUUCCCCAAAAGCUCAUCAUAGUUUAUUUUCUUUUUCUCUUUUUGCAUUCUUUUCACCGUGAUUUUCCCAAAAUUUACAACAGUACAGACAAGGUAGAAUAUUAUUUGUGCUUUCCUGUUCUAUCCCUUUAUGCCAAAAAGUCAAUUAUUUGUUAGCACAUUGUUGCUUACACAAAAUCUUUUUUUAUCUCUUGAACAGCAUGCAAAAGCUGCAACUUGGUAGGAGUAGCUAGAGAAUAUAAUGUCACCUAUUUAAUCGUAGAAGACUACAAUAAAAGUAGAUUAGCGCUCCAAAACGACUUUACAGAAUAGCUUUUCGUUUGGAAGAUGUAACUUUUCAUCCUGUAACCGUCUCUUGUAGUGAAACCCUGUAAACCAUUAUUAAAAAACAUGUACUCACUCCUGUUCAAAA